rnacentral:lncRNA from 1 species
CAAUAGAGAUGCUUUAUGCCUGUUGAAGAGGAGCUUGGGGCAAAAUUUUUACUAAAAAUUAUCCGAAAAAAUAAUUGAUUAAGAACCUAACCAUAGAUGCACAUGGAUUGGCCAAGCCUGAAUUAGGCCCAUAUGCAGUCUAUGUGGAUUUUAGUACCUACUAAGAAAUUAAGGUAAUUUUUUGAAAUAAAGGUAGAGG